GAUGAACGCUGGCGGCGUGCUUAACACAUGCAAGUCGAACGAGAAAUGGAGACGGAAACCUUCGGGCGGAAGGCUUCAUUUCGAGUGGCGGACGGGUGAGUAACGCGUGGGUAACCUGCCUCAUACAGGGGGAUAACAGUUGGAAACGACUGUUAAUACCGCAUAAGACCACAGCACCGCAUGGUGCGGGGGUAAAAACUCCGGUGGUAUGAGAUGGACCCGCGUUCGAUUAGCCAGUUGGCGGGGUAACGGCCCACCAAAGCGACGAUCGAUAGCCGAUCUGAGAGGAUGACCGGCCACAUUGGGACUGAGACACGGCUCAAACUCCUACGGGAGGCAGCAGUGGGGAAUAUUGCACAAUGGGGGAAACCCUGAUGCAGCGACGCCGCGUGAGUGAAGAAGUACUUCGGUAUGUAAAGCUCUAUCAGCAGGGAAGAAAAUGACGGUACCUGAGGAAGAAGCCCCGGCUAACUACGUG
rnacentral:rRNA from 1 species